GAGUUUGAUCCUGGCUCAGAUUGAACGCUGGCGGCAUGCCUUACACAUGCAAGUCGAACGGCAGCACGGGAGCUUGCUCCUGGUGGCGAGUGGCGAACGGGUGAGUAAUGCAUCGGAACGUAUCCUGGAGUGGGGGAUAACGUAGCGAAAGUUACGCUAAUACCGCAUAUUCUGUGAGCAGGAAAGCGGGGGACCUUCGGGCCUCGCGCUCUUGGAGCGGCCGAUGUCGGAUUAGCUAGUUAGGUGAGGUAAAGGCUCACCAAGGCGACGAUCCGUAGCAGGUCUGAGAGGAUGAUCUGCCACACUGGAACUGAGACACGGUCCAGACUCCUACGGGAGGCAGCAGUGGGAAUUUUGGACAAAUGGGGCAACCCUGAUCCAGCCAUGCCGCGUGAGUGAAG
rnacentral:rRNA from 1 species